AAGUCGUAACAAGGUUUCCGUAGGUGAACCUGCGGAAGGAUCAUUCUUGUACUUGGCUCUAGGCCAACUACUACAACAACUGUGUGAACCGUACCACUGACUGUUGUCGAUAACUCUGGCAGAAGGCGGGGCGAAACUCCUGGUACAGGAGCGGUAGUCUGCGCGCUGCCAAUGGAACUCGGCAGCAACUAUACACGAACUCUUUACCUAGUGUACUGAAUCUCACAACUAAAUUGAAUACAACUUUUAGCAACGGAUCUCUAGGCUCUC
rnacentral:misc_RNA from 1 species